rnacentral:tRNA from 1 species
GCCGAUUUAGCUCAGUUGGUAGAGCACUUCAUUCGUAAUGAGGGGUCAUCAGUUCAAAUCUGAUAAUCGGCACCA